GGCGACUGAAAGGGGACCAGCCCAGCGCAUAACCUCGCGGUCUUUUUGAGGCCGUCGAGGGGUGUUGCGUUUCGGUGGAUCCGUACCGCUCGAAUUGCUGACCGCCUAAGUCAUUGCUUGAAUGCAGCCCCGAGGAGGGUGGUAGGCCCGUGUGGCGGCGCCUGUAAAAAGGUAGGAAGCAAUUUGGGCGGAGGGAUGUUUACCGUAGAGUCGGGUUGCUUAGUACUGCAGCCCUAAGUGGGUGGUAAACUCCAUCCAAGGCUAAAUACUACCACGAGUCCGAUAUUUGACAAGUACCGUGAGGGAAAGCUGAAAAGGACUCUGAAGAGAGAGUUCAAGAGGACGUGAAACCAUUAGAAGCUGAAACGGGUGGAACCGUGAAGGUGGAAAGAGGGGAUUCAGGCUGUUGGCAGCGCCACUUGCCGCCGGUAUUUUGUGAGAGAGACGACCCGGCGUACGAGUGAGCGGUCCGGGCACCGGCGGUGCGUGGGUGUUGCCAGCAGUCUUAUUUCUCCCUCGAGUACUGGACGUGGCGACCCGCUACUUGGACCCCGAGGUGCCUGCAGGACUGGUAGCCUAGGCCUGUGGCCUGGGCGAGGACCUGGCGGGUUGCCGAGCGGGUGCGAGUGGCGGUCACUGCGGGGAUGCGG
rnacentral:rRNA from 1 species